rnacentral:rRNA from 1 species
ACACGACUACAUUAGAUACCCCUGUAGUCCUAGCCGUAAACGAUACUCGCUAGGUGUCGGCCACGGUGCGACCGUUGUCGGUGCCGUAGGGAAGCCGUGAAGCGAGCCACCUGGGAAGUACGGCCGCAAGGCUGAAACUUAAAGGAAUUGGCGGGGGAGCACCACAACGGGUGGAGCUUGCGGUUUAAUUGGAUUCAACGCCGGACAACUCACCAGGAGCGACGGUUACAUGAAGGCCAGGCUGAUGACCUUGCCUGAUUUUCCG